UCGGCAGCGCAUAAAGAAGAAGGAUCUGGUUUAACACAUGUGUCCGGAAAAGGGGGAAUUGCACGUUGCACCACACGGAGAAACACAUAGUAGUCAUUUGCAAGAACGUCAUAUCCAGUGGAGUCGUAGUAAGAUUGAAUCAUGCCACCUAAGAAGAAGGAAGAAGUGAAACCUGCACCUCUUAUUGGUAGAGUUGGUACAAACCUGAAAAUUGGUAUUGUUGGACUUCCGAAUGUCGGAAAGUCCACCUUUUUCAACGUGUUGACAAAGAGUCAAGCUACAGCAGAGAAUUUUCCCUUCUGUACCAUAGAUCCGAAUGAAAGCCGCGUACCAGUGCCAGACAUGAGGUGGGAUCAUCUAGUUGAGCACUACAAGCCAGUCAGGUA